rfam:Alkalibacterium sp. AK22 ATG3_contig_5, whole genome shotgun sequence.
CUGAUUAACUGAAUAAUACCGAAGACAGUAUGUGGCGCAUGCCUUAAUAUCAUACCGAGGAUAAAGUGAUGAAAGUCAAUUUACACUCCCUCUAUGUCUACGGUGACAUGGGGUUUUUUUAUGCCAUA